rnacentral:rRNA from 1 species
GAUCAUGGCUCAGGACGAACGCUAGCUACAGGCUUAACACAUGCAAGUCGAGGGGCAGCAUGGUCUUAGCUUGCUAAGGCCGAUGGCGACCGGCGCACGGGUGAGUAACGCGUAUCCAACCUGCCUUACACUCUUGGACAGCCUUCUGAAAGGAAGAUUAAUACAAGAUGUUAUCAUGAGUAAGCAUUUUCGCAUGAUUAAAGGUUUACCGGUGUAAGAUGGGGAUGCGUU